UGAGUAACACGUGGGUAACCUGCCCUCUUGUGGGGGAUAACAUUUGGAAACAGAUGCUAAUACCGCAUAGAUCCAAGAACCGCAUGGUUCUUGGCUGAAAGAUCGCGUAAGCUAUCGCUUUUGGAUGGACCCGCGGCGUAUUAGCUAGUUGGUGAGGUAAUGGCUCACCAAGGCGAUGAUACGUAGCCGAACUGAGAGGUUGAUCGGCCACAUUGGGACUGAGACACGGCCCAAACUCCUACGGGAGGCAGCAGUAGGGAAUCUUCCACAAUGGACGCAAGUCUGAUGGAGCAACGCCGCGUGAGUGAAGAAGGCUUUCGGGUCGUAAAACUCUGUUGUUGGAGAAGAAUGGUCGGCAGAGUAACUGUUGUCGGCGUGACGGUAUCCAACCAGAAAGCCACGGCUAACUACGUGCCAGCAGCCGCGGUAAUACGUAGGUGGCAAGCGUUAUCCGGAUUUAUUGGGCGUAAAGCGAGCGCAGGCGGUUUUUUAAGUCUGAUGUGAAAGCCCUCGGCUUAACCGAGGAAGCGCAUCGGAAACUGGGAAACUUGAGUGCAGAAGAGGACAGUGGAACUCCAUGUGUAGCGGUGAAAUGCGUAGGUAUAUGGAAGAACACCAGUGGCGAAGGCGGCUGUCUGGUCUGUAACUGACGCUGAGGCUCGAAAGCAUGGGUAGCGAACAGGAUUAGAUACCCUGGUAGUCCAUGCCGUAAACGAUGAAUGCUAGGUGUUGGAGGGUUUCCGCCCUUCAGUGCCGCAGCUAACGCAUUAA
rnacentral:rRNA from 1 species